GUGAGGGCGAGCCCGCCCCGCGCGCUCACCCCCGCGCCAGCGCCCGCAGCCAAUCAGCGGCUGCGGCGCCCCCCCCUCAGCCCUCCCUGCGCCGCCCGCCCGCUGCGGCGCCGCUCGAGCCGUCGCUGCGCCGGGCCGCGCCGCCGCCGCCGCUCCGCCAUGUGGCUGCUGGCCGCCUCCGUGCUGCUCGGCGCCCUGCGCGCAGGUUCUGCCCAGUUGUCACUUUCUGGAGCAAGUAUUGUAGAAAAAAAUGACUGUAAUGAAACUGUAGUUUUACCUUGUUAUGUGACUAAUCUAAAGCAGAACAAUGAAAAUACCAUGUUCGUUACCUGGAAAAAGGAAGGAAUUACAUUUUUUUCUUACCAUGGAGGAAACAAGAAAUAUAAUAUUGAUCCCUCAUUUUCAUCUGCAAAAUUUUUAUCCCAACCGGAAUUAAUCACGGGUGUGGCCUCACUGGUGCUGGAGAGUGCACAAGCAACUGUUGGAAAUUACAGCUGUAAAGUAACAGAAUCGAACAGAGAAGGAGAAAUAAAAAUGGAACUUAAAAACAGCUCAGUUGUCAGUUGCGGCGACGAAACACCAGAGGAAAAAUGUGGAUCAUGGUUCCUUCUUGUGGAAAGGGCUGUCAUCAUAUCAUUGAUGUGCUUACUUGUUAUUUUAUGUGCAGCUCAGUUAAGUGUUAUUGGAUUAAAAUAUGAAAUUGAAUCUCAGAGGAAAGUGUGCAUUAUUGUAGCACUUGUCAUCUUUGCAGUUGUAGCUGGUGUAGGUGCAGCUCUUUUUAUCCAAGAUGGAUAUACUGUACAGAAUCAGGCUGGUCUUGGCCUAAUUGUAAUCCCUGCUGUGAUUUUGGUACCUCUUCAGUACGUCAUGUUUGGAAUUGUUUUUGACAGUCUACUGCAGGCAACAUUGGCUCUGAUAGGUUUGAAACUUCUUGGGUUUAUAAUUGCUGUGGUUGGUUUUGCACUGUGUGUUCCAGCCUGUCCUCCAUUACAUGGGUCUGUUCUGAUUGCUGGCUUAGCUAUUAUGGCUAUUGCAAGUUUGCUUAGUCUGGCUUACGUGUUUAUUAUGGGUUCCAGAAUGAAAGAUCAUCCUCGUCCGGGGAAUCACUACUUACUGUAUAUGUCAAUUAGAGUAAUUUAACUGUGGCCAGCCAGAAGUAAACAUGAAGGCUUUUUAUACAUAUAUAUAUUUUUAAAUGUUUUGCAGAAAGCUGUAGAAGAACCACUAAAUGAUGCAAAAGGAGUGAUGUUAGAAUGAUGAACUGCAGAGUUAUGUGAUGCGUAUAUAAAAAGUACACCGUUGUUGAUACACCGUGGCCUCGAAGAUGCACUACUCAUCGAGAAGAAAUUCAGGACUCUAGUUGUUUUGCAUGUGUGGCAAAAGUGCUUUUGAUAUAAAUGACAUUAUUUUAUAGUCACAGCAGCUGUAGCAAGGAACAUGUGUGUUUGCCCACAUGUGAUCUUUAUUUUGUUUUGUUAUGGUGUAUACGGGAUGGUUGAGGGUGAGAAUAUAAAAAGCAUUAUUUGCCCAGUACAGAGUCUCCCUGCAGUAAUCCUUAGUGGUAUUAUUUUUAAAAACUAUCAUUAGUCACUGCUUUGAUAAUGGGCCUGCUGAGCCCAGAGAUUGCAAUACCAUUUAGACUAUUGUUUUCUUUAUUUGUGUGCAUGGACAAAGUAUGGUUUAUGUGUAUGAUACAAGCAGGAAGUAGAGAUUGUACAAAUACAUAUUUUCUGACAUUCAGCAAAUUUUUAUUAAAGAAAUACAAAGUUACACACAAAGUUGCAUAAGUACAAAGUUCACUCCCAGCUCUCCUGAAAUUAUUAACUAAGUUCUGAUUCCACAAGAUGUUAGUAUUCCUCUCUGUGGACAGUAGUCAUGUGUGCUCUGGUGGCUGAUAUUUUUGUCCAGUGAGAGGGCUCUCCGUGCCUCCUCUGUAUCCUUUGAUGAGAAACUGCUCAGCUGUUGGAGCCUAAUUCAGCACUGGAAUUACAGAGCACAGGAGCUGGUAAUCUUAAUGCUGAAUGUGGUUCUUGUUGUGUUCAUGUUGUGCAGUGUGUGGAAUUGGAAACAAUUUCAGGCUUUCUUAACUCAGUGAAUUUGUGAAAGUCGUGGAUGCUUCAUAAAAAUAGGAGUUUCCUAUUUAGUAUAUUUUUUACAGUUUAAAACCUUCUUUUCUUGAAUGGAAAAGAGCGAUAUAAUUUCUGGCCCAGGUUUGUGUUGCUACCAUUACAUCACAAAUACAUAAAAUAAAAAGUAGGAGGAGCUGAUGAGGAGUGAGGAAGCUCAGUUUCUGUAUAUAUCUAAUGAUGAUGUGGUUAAAAAUCAGUUUACUAGGACUUGCACAUUCCAUGAGAUUCUAUGUUUUACAGCUAAGUUCUACAGCUAUUUUGAGAGUUGUUCCAAUAUAGUUAGCUGCUCUUGGACUUUGUGUAUGCUUUGUAGAAAUCUUGACACUGUUUCCUGUUUGUACUAAGGUACUGUAUUUCAAAGGCACACACGGUUUUCUCCUUCUAACAAUUUAAAACUUGGGCAGUUUUGGAAAGCUGUUGCCAAAGUCACGUAAUAAAAUCCAUGUUUUUAAAGAUCCUGAGUAAUUUGGCAGUUCUCAGAAUUGAAUGUUACAAACCAAGGUUCAUAUCCAUGUUGUGGGUGCAUGUCACAGGGAUUUGAGUCUCUGCACAUUGAACUCCCAAGUCGCAUUAAGAAUUCAACAAAGCAAAAUUGAGGUGUCUGAUUUUACAGUAGGUGCUGCCAGAAUCGUCCCUCUUGCCAAGGCUGCAGGACUGAGCCAUUUAAAGCAAGCUAUGGGCCAGCCCUCACUGGGAUCAGUGGAACUGGACACAGGGAAGAGGGUCACACAUGUGAUAAAAUAUGGGAGAAUCAUAUAUGGCUCAUAUUUACUGUCCUACUUUGCCAGUGGGAGUAUUCAUGGAAGGUUUGAGCUCUUACAGAUGAAUCUUUUGGUGCAGGUUUUUCCAUAAUCUCAGUGAUACCUAACUAAAGAUGGGAGAUGGGUCUCCGUUACAAUAAAAAUUUUUCUAAUUUAGUACUGUGCAGUGCUCCCUGUUCAUAACUAGUGAUUCCCUCUGGUAAGUUGAAAGUCUUAGCAGCAGAGGAAUAAAAAACCAAAUCAACUGGAAUUCUUUUGAGGUAUUCUGCCUUAUAAAAACAAUUAUGUAUAAUAGCUUUAUGUUAAUUUCUGUAAAGCAAACUGCAGCAGAACCCCUCUGUGUCACUGUGGGAUCAGGCCGAGUUGUUCCUAGGAAUUGUCAAAACCUGAGGAGCUCAGUGGCUGGCUAUGGGCUGCAGAGUUGUGGUCCCAGAAAUGGGAGAAACCCACCAUCCUGUUGCAUUAAGGGCUGGAUUUCUUGUAGGUGGGAAUUGAAAAGUGAGUGUUCAAAAAGUCAUUGGUACACCCAGCCAGCCCUUUCCCACCAGUAAUUUAAACCAAAGUUGUUCAUAACUCUUAUGUUUUCAUUUGUGUGUGUAUAUAUGUGUGUAUAUAUAAAUAUAUAGACAUUUUAAAUAUCUAUAAAUCUAUAGUCUUUACCCAAGAAACUGUUUUUAUUUAUGAAACAUGAAACGAUUUUGUAAAUAUUGUGCUAAUAUACUUAAAAAUAAAGUCAUUUUAAGUUGUUUUUGCAGGA